CCACCCCGACUGGCAGCGCUGGGCAGCAGACUUUGCGAUUCCUCCCACGUCCACGCCCAUGGCCAGCACCAUCACAAACAUGGCAAGCGCCAAAAACAUCACCAAGAAAGCCUUGUUCUCCAUGAUUUGCUGCUCAGACUAAGAUCAAGUAGGCUUGUAUAUUAGAGAGAAAUGGUUUGAUCUGUGAGGCAGGAGGGGCUCGU
rnacentral:lncRNA from 1 species